UGCCGGGGCUGGCUGCGCGGUGUGUGCGGCCGCGCGGUUUGAGUGCGGGCCCGGUUGCUGCGCGGGAAGGCGAGAGGCGCUGAAAUCGGGCGCGUGCCGGAGGCAAAGGUGCCUUGACUUUGAUUUGAUGCUUUGAGGGACAGGACACACAGAGAUGCUACCAGUGCAGCAAACCCUUAACAGGGGAGCAGAAAACCAUCUUGCAGUUAUUAAGCAAGAGUUCCAGUUUCACAGAUCUUUUCUUUUCCUCUCUUAAGAAUGAUUGUAAGUACAAACCUAAUCCCUAUAUACAAGUAAUGAUCCUCAGAGGGUUCUUGAGAUGAUCAUUUAAUGAUUAUAAAGCAUUUAAAUGUACAGUAGUUCAUACAUAAAAGCAUUAGUUUGUCACAGUAAUUUACACUAAGAGAAGACAUGAAGGAGGCACCUACAAAUCAGGUCACCCCAGUUUAGGUAGCUGUGAAACCAGGCCUGACCUCUGAAGUAGUUGCUUAUUGUUUCCUGUCUCACAGACAGGGAAGUGGAAGCACAGAGAUGAGGACCUGAAUUCAAGAAGUGCUGAAUAAUUGCUGCUUCUG
rnacentral:lncRNA from 1 species